AGGGGCAUCAGGAAGAAAGCUUGCUUUCUUUGCUGGCGACCGGCGCACGGGUGAGUAACACGUAUCCAACCUGCCCUUUACUCGGGGAUAGCCUUUCGAAAGAAAGAUUAAUACCCGAUGGGAUAAUCAUUCCGCAUGGUUUGAUUAUUAAAGGAUUCCGGUAAAGGAUGGGGAUGCGUUCCAUUAGGUUGUUGGUGAGGUGACGGCCCACCAAGCCUUCGAUGGAUAGGGGUUCUGAGAGGAAGGUCCCCCACAUUGGAACUGAGACACGGUCCAAACUCCUACGGGAGGCAGCAGUGAGGAAUAUUGGUCAAUGGGCGCGAGCCUGAACCAGCCAAGUAGCGUGAAGGAUGACUGCCCUAUGGGUUGUAAACUUCUUUUAUAUUAGAAUAAAGUGCAGUAUGUAUACUGUUUUGUAUGUAUAAUAUGAAUAAGGAUCGGCUAACUCCGUGCCAGCAGCCGCGGUAAUACGGAGGAUCCGAGCGUUAUCCGGAUUUAUUGGGUUUAAAGGGAGCGUAGGUGGACUGGUAAGUCAGUUGUGAAAGUUUGCGGCUCAACCGUAAAAUUGCAGUUGAUACUGUCAGUCUUGAGUACAGUAGAGGUGGGCGGAAUUCGUGGUGUAGCGGUGAAUGCUUAGAUAUCACGAAGACUCCGAUUGCGAAGGCAGCUCACUGGACUGCAACUGACACUGA
rnacentral:rRNA from 1 species